rnacentral:rRNA from 1 species
CUUAACCUACAGACUGCGUUUGAAACUUGUAUAUCUUGAGAGCAGCAGAGGAAGGCGGAAUUCCUGGUGUAGUGGUGAAAUACGUAGAUAUCAGGAAGAACACCAGUGGCGAAGGCGGUCUUCUGGGCUGCAUCUGACGCUCAUGUACGAAAGCUGGGGUAGCGAACGGGAUUAGAUACCCCGGUAGUCCCAGCUGUAAACGAUGGACACUAGGUGUUGGCGGUUCGAAUCCGUCAGUGCCGGAGUUAACGCAUUAAGUGUCCCGCCUGGGGAAUACGGUCGCAAGACUGAAACUCAAAGGAAUUGACGGGGGCCCGCACAAGCGGUGGAGCAUGUGGUUUAAUUCGAUGCAACGCGAAGAACCUUACCGAGAAUUGACAUCCCGUGACUACCUGUGAGAGCAGGGUUUGGUACUUUGUAUCACAC